AAGGAUUUAAGUUAAAUAAACUAUUAACCUUCAAAGUUAAAAAUAAAAAUUUCAAUUUUAAGCCUUA
rnacentral:tRNA from 1 species